GCGCAAUUGCCCCCUAUAUGCCGCGCGGAAAAUGACUCCCACGCGUUACGGGCCGCGAUCGGCCAACUAAAAAAAUUCUAGAAAAACAAAUUUAAUACUCACAAUCACCAAAUUACUUGUGCUUUUCAAUCAAUAUCUUAUCUCUAUGUGUACUAAAUUUCUUUUAAAAACAAGUUACCGAUGUUUAGUUAGAGCGUGAUUAACGGGCAGGACCACCCGGCUGGCGAGCUACGCCCGCGGCGGGCACCAUUUCCGCCGAACGCAAAAAUGCGUUCCACACUUUGACCCCGUUUCCGCCGGAUAUACCGAGGAUUAUGGUCCAUAGAAACUUCAUGAAUGCAUUAUAGAGACUGUGGGGAGUAUUCUGGUGUGUGCCGCAAAUUUCUACGUCCAAGUUAUGAUGCCAGAGAACCUGUUGUGACUAGUGCCUAGUAGUGGACUUCUCUUCUAUCUUCUUCUUCUCUGUACUUCUUCAAAUCAUACAAGUGACACAGAGGGAAGGAAUUGGACAGGCACCAUGGCCACAAAUGGAGAUAUCCUACAGUUCUGUGGACAACACAAACGACUCAAGGUGAGAGAGAAGAUGGAACUGCUCAAGGAAACAUUCACAUCCAUUGACAGCAGGGUGGAAACUAAAGUACUCUGGAGCAGUAUUUCACGCCUAGCAGGGAAAAGGAAGAAAUUGUCGAAGGAUAAAAAGGAACUGAAAUCUUUGUUAAAUCAGACUUUCAACUCCCCAAAGCAAAACCAAACUCCACAGUCUCGA